rnacentral:rRNA from 1 species
GAGUUUGAUCAUGGCUCAGGAUGAACGCUAGCUACAGGCUUAACACAUGCAAGUCGAGGGGCAGCAUUGGGGUAGCAAUACUUCAGAUGGCGACCGGCGCACGGGUGAGUAACACGUAUCCAACCUGCCGCUUACUCGGGGAUAGCCUUUCGAAAGAAAGGUUAAUACCCGAUGGUAUAAAGAGUUCGCAUGUUCUCUUUAUUAAAGAAUUUCGGUAAGCGAUGGGGAUGCGUUCCAUUAGAUAGUUGGCGGGGUAACGGCCCACCAAGUCUACGAUGGAUAGGGGUUCUGAGAGGAAGGUCCCCCACAUUGGAACUGAGACACGGUCCAAACUCCUACGGGAGGCAGCAGUGAGGAAUAUUGGUCAAUGGACGAGAGUCUGAACCAGCCAAGUAGCGUGAAGGAUGACUGCCCUAUGGGUUGUAAACUUCUUUUAUAAGGGAAUAAAGUGAGGGACGUGUCCCUUUUUGUAUGUACCUUAUGAAUAAGGAUCGGCUAACUCCGUGCCAGCAGCAGC